rnacentral:rRNA from 1 species
UACAGAGGUCUCAAGCGUUGUUCGGAUUCAUUGGGCGUAAAGGGUGCGUAGGUGGCAUGGUAAGUCGGAUGUGAAAUCCCGGGGCUCAACCCCGGAACUGCAUUCGAUACUGCUGCGCUAGAGUACUGGAGAGGAGAUUGGAAUUUACGGUGUAGCAGUGAAUGCGUAGAUAUCGUAAGGAAGACCAGUGGCGAAGGCGGAUCUCUGGACAGUUACUGACACUGAGGCACGAAGGCCAGGGGAGCAAAGCGGG